AUUGAACGCUGGCGGCAGGCCUAACACAUGCAAGUCGAACGAGUGGCGGACGGGUGAGUAAUGUCUGGGAAACUGCCUGAUGGAGGGGGAUAACUACUGGAAACGGUAGCUAAUACCGCAUCCCAUCGGAUGUGCCCAGAUGGGAUUAGCUAGUAGGUGGGGUAAAGGCUCACCUAGGCGACGAUCCCUAGCUGGUCUGAGAGGAUGACCAGCAACACUGGAACUGAAGCACGGUCCAGAGUCCUACGGGAGGCAGCAGUGGGGACGAUUGCACAAUGGGAGCAAGCCUGAGGCAGCCAUGCCGCGUGUAUGAAGAAGGCCUUCGGGUUGUAAAGUACUUUCAGCGGGGAGGCGUUACCCGCAGAAGAAGCACCGGCUAACUCCGUGCCAGCCGCCGCGGUAAUUC
rnacentral:rRNA from 1 species